rnacentral:rRNA from 1 species
CCUACGGGAGGCUGCAGUGGGGGAUAUUGCACAAUGGGGGGAACCCUGAUGCAGCGACGCCGCGUGGGUGAAGGAGUGCUUCGGCAUGUAAAGCCCUAUCGGCAGGGAAGAAGCAAGACGGUACCUGACUAAGAAGCCCCGGCUAACUACGUGCCAGCAGCCGCGGUAAUACGUAGGGGGCGAGCGUUAUCCGGAUUCACUGGGUGUAAAGGGCGUGCAGCCGGAGAGACAAGUCAGAUGUGAAAUCCACGGGCUCAACCCGUGAACUGCAUUUGAAACUGUUUCCCUUGAGUGUCGGAGAGGUAAUCGGAAUUCCUUGUGUAGCGGUGAAAUGCGUAGAUAUAAGGAAGAACACCAGUGGCGAAGGCGGAUUACUGGACGAUAACUGACGGUGAGGCGCGAAAGCGUGGGGAGCAAACAGGAUUAGAUACCCUUGUAGUC